rnacentral:rRNA from 1 species
ACGAACGCUGGCGGCAUGCCUAACACAUGCCAGUCGAACGAGACCUUCGGGUCUAGUGGCGCACGGGUGCGUAACGCGUGGGAACCUGCCCUUAGGUUUGGAAUAACUCCCCGAAAGGGGUGCUAAUACCGGAUAAUGUCUUCGGACCAAAGAUUUAUCGCCUUUGGAUGGGCCCGCGUUGGAUUAGCUAGUUGGUAGGGUAAAAGCCUACCAAGGCGACGAUCCAUAGCUGGUCUGAGAGGAUGAUCAGCCACACUGGGACUGAGACACGGCCCAGACUCCUACGGGAGGCAGCAGUGGGGAAUAUUGGACAAUGGGCGAAAGCCUGAUCCAGCAAUGCCGCGUGAGUGAUGAAGGCCUUAGGGUUGUAAAGCUCUUUUACCCGGGAUGAUAAUGACAGUACCGGGAGAAUAAGCGCCGGCUAACUCCGUG